rnacentral:rRNA from 1 species
GACGUAGGGGGCCAGCGUUGUUCGGAAUUACUGGGUGUAAAGGGUUCGUAGGCGGUGUGGCAAGUCGGGAGUGAAAUUUCUGGGCUCAACUCAGAGACUGCUUCCGAAACUGCUGUGCUGGAGUGUGGAGAGGCGCGUGGAAUUGCAGGUGUAGCGGUGAAAUGCGUAGAUAUCAGGAGGAACACCAAUUGCGAAGGCAGCUCGCUGGGACGUUACUGACGCUGAGACGCGAAAGCGUGGGGAGCAAACAGG